GGUCUGGGGGGUUGGGGGCGUCGGUCACUCCGCACACUCUUGCCCCACCUGCCCACCCCAUCUCCCAGCGGGGGGACCCGAGAGGACGAGAAGGAGUGAGGCAGCUCCAUCUCUCUCUUUCGCUCCGUUAACUCGGCCUGACAGGGAAGAAGAAGGAGGAAAAGGGGGAGGGGCCUCAGCCCAUCAGAUCCACCAAUCCGAGUCUCAUCUUACUCUCGGCCAGUGGGAAGAAGGCGAAAAAAAACCAGGAGCUGGUGCACUUCUCUUCUUUCAUCCCUCCUUCCUUUCCUUCUCUCCCUCUGGGCAUGAGUAGCGUCUCUCCUCCUCUUCACACUGCCACACCUCUGCUUCUCUUCCUCUGCGACGCAUCCACGAGGUAUUCCAUCCCUCCUUCUUUUGCUUCAUCUUUCUUUUCUGGAGUGUUUGGUGCAACUUUUUUAUUUUUUGGGGUGGGUGGGUGUGUGUGUCUGUGUUUUCGAAUGUGAGCUUUCCAAAAUCUUCUCAUCUGAGCAGUGAAACAUGCUCUCUGUAACGCAUCUCCGUGAUUGGACCAUGACUUACAACCUUCUAAAGCCAUGCAUCAUCUUACAGGUUAUGAAUUUUGCAUAAUAAUUGAAUUAUCGUCAUUUCUGGAGCUUUGAAGAUGCACAAGUGAUGAUCAGAACCUAGCAUUUACUGCCUCAGAUGCAUGUGUGGUGAUGCCACAUGGUACACUUGAUGCAGCAUCUCGCACACGCGCAAGAAUCGAAUGGAUACGAUUUCGAAUUCCGUUCCUAGUUCUGCUAACGUUUUUGUUGUGGUUGUUUUUGCAUGCUAAUCUCACUUCAAUAGGGUCGGACGCUUCUGAAGUACUUUAUACAUAAGUGCAUGAAAAACAAUAUCAGCUUCUUUGCUGUAAAUAAAUCCUGGUCUAAGAUUUAAUAUUAUUUACAAUUGUUGAGCUUUAAUAACUCUUUUUUUUUGGCCUGAAAGCUGGCCAUCGAUGUGCACCAACUCCACAUGGCAGAUCAGGGCUGGGCAAGAUCUCUUGAUUGGCUCUUGUAGCUCGCUGAUUUUUCAUUUUUUUUAACUUUAUGCAGAAGUCUACGGAAAAAACCCCACCAAAUUUAAUUGUUAACAUAGUUGAAAUCUAAUAUAUAGUGUUAUUUUUCUAGUUGUGUCGCUUUAAUAACUUGUUUUUUGAAGCUGUUGGGCCACUGGAUCGAGCUACAUGGCAAAUCAGAGCUGGGUUUUGUUUUUUUUUCUUCCCCAAACCAUAUUAUUGCUCCUACAGUAAAUGUAUGCAUAUUCUCAAAUGUGUUAUCAAUACCGCAAAAAUAAUGAUAUUAUGUUAGACUUAUUACCUCAUAAUGCACUUUUAGGAUCACUUUUAUGAAUCAAAACAUAGUUUUUCUUCAUUUCAGCCCAAAAGACAGCGAUGUCUGCUGAUUUCUUUCUUUUUUUAUAUACUUUACAUACUAGGAUACAUAAAUCAACACCAGAUUUAAUCAUGGAAAUGGUUUUCAAUCUAAUAUGUAGUGUGAUUAUUAUGUUUUUUUAUUUGUGUAGCUUUGAGAACUCAUUUUUCGGGAUGUUCGGGCCAUUGGAUCGAACCACAUGGCAGAUCAGGGUUGGGCAAGGUGUGCUUUUUCCAAAAUUUGGAAUCAUUUCAAGAGCGAGCUUGAUGCUAAAUCCAUUCGUAUACUUUUAUUACAUAUUCAUUUGACCAUAUUCUCAUGUUAUACUGUAUUUCUGGAUGUUCUUAGAGAUACAAGAACAUAGUCCAGAUGUGUAGCAAUGCCACAUGGACCAACUUCAUGCAACAUACAUGGAAAGAUUGGAUCAUGUAGAUGCAACUGCAGCCCAGCCCAUGUCUAGCAUUUAUUUCAAUUUUUUUUUUUUUUUUUUUAACAUUUUGGCCCAAAACAUGCUGAAGCAAACCACAAAUCAGUGUGUACUGACUCAGGGUUGAGAAUGACGUGCCUUUUUUUCCCUCCAAACCACCUCCAGGACGGACCAAGAGCGCUAAAUCCGUGUAGCACAUUCCUGUAACGUCCUAUUUCUGGAUUCUUGAUAUUGCACAAUAAUCGCAUUAGGCUAUUUUUCGAUCUUGGGGUUGCACUCAGGAUCGGAAGAUGCAGGUUAUAGAUCCAAACCGAGCAUGCAGGUGUAGGGAAUUUUUAUGUCAUAGUGUGUGAACAAAACCUCAACAUGAAAUCAUCUACAAAAAAAACAAAUAAAUCGAAUCUUAUUUAUAAUUUUGCUUGGACGAUAGUAAAAACCAGGUUGAUGAGUCAUACGAGUCAUAUGAUUUCUAAUCUAAUUGUAUUCCUACACAGAUUUAAUCAUUCAUUUUGGUCAAAAAGCCACUGGGACGACCCACAUCACAGGAGUAGCGAUGCCACAUGGUGACCUUCGUACCACACGAGGAAAGCGACGGAGGACGAACAGAGGGGAAUCAAUAGAGCUGGCCCAUUGAAGAAGACAGGCGGGGUGGUGCGCCUUCUCAACCUUACAGCACAGGCAAACAGCAAGAAAUCACACCAUGACACACGCGUAUACACGUGUAGGCUUAUUUAUUCACUUGCCGCCACCCAGAACAAGCACGUUGGAGGUAGAAGCAAGUGUGUAUGGAGGGAUGAUCACAGUGGAUGCUUGGACAAUACAACCCUGCGUACUUCUGCUCCUACCAUGGCAACUGGUGGGUGGAGGAUAGGAGUGUGUGUGUGUGUUUCAGGGGCCACACAGCAGAUGCCUUGGGGUGACGCCUUACAGCUCAGCAGCUGCUAGAAUCUAAACUCACACACACACACACACACAUCACUGAGGUGAAAAGAUCAGUAUGGCUCGUUUCUGGCACACACCGCUGGCACAUUAUCACACACACACACACACACACACACACACACACACACAGGUCAGAACAACUAGGAACUAGUCAGUGUGUUAUCUAGUGAACUGAACAGUGUUGGUAACACUCUCUCUCACACACACA